UGGGAAUUUUGGACAAUGGGCGAAAGCCUGAUCCAGCAAUGCCGCGUGUGUGAAGAAGGCCUUCGGGUUGUAAAGCACUUUUGUCCGGAAAGAAAUCCUUGGCUCUAAUACAGUCGGGGGAUGACGGUACCGGAAGAAUAAGCACCGGCUAACUACGUGCCAGCAGCCGCGGUAAUACGUAGGGUGCAAGCGUUAAUCGGAAUUACUGGGCGUAAAGCGUGCGCAGGCGGUUUGCUAAGACCGAUGUGAAAUCCCCGGGCUCAACCUGGGAACUGCAUUGGUGACUGGCAGGCUAGAGUAUGGCAGAGGGGGGUAGAAUUCCACGUGUAGCAGUGAAAUGCGUAGAGAUGUGGAGGAAUACCGAUGGCGAAGGCAGCCCCCAUGGGCCAAUACUGACGCUCAUGCACGAAAGCGUGGGGAGCAAACAGGAUUAGAUACCCUGGUAGUCCACGCCCUAAACGAUGUCAACUAGUUGUUGGGGACUUCAUUUUCCUUAGUAACGUAGCUAACGCGUGAAGUUGACCGCCUGGGGAGUACGGUCGCAAGAUUAAAACUCAAAUGAAUUGACGGGGUCAUAGCUGUUUCCU
rnacentral:rRNA from 1 species